rnacentral:rRNA from 1 species
UACGGGGGGGCAAGCGUUGUUCGGAAUUACUGGGCGUAAAGGCUCGUAGGUGGCCAACUAAGUCAGACGUGAAAUCCCUCGGCUUAACCGGGGAACUGCGUCUGAUACUGGAUGGCUUGAGUUCGGGAGAGGAUGCGGAAUUCCAGGUGUAGCGGUGAAAUGCGUAGAUAUCUGGAGGACACCGGUGGCGAAGGCGGCAUCCUGGACCGACACUGACCACUGAGGAGCGAAAGCCAGGGGAGACGAAAACCGGGG